UUUAUUUGUCUAGGGCAACAGAGAGAGAGAGAAGAGAACGAUGGCACAGGGAAGAGACCGGCUCCUAUUUGUCUAAGGCAACAUAGAGAGAGAAGAGACCGGCGGCACAAACACACAAGGAAGAGACCGGCGACCAGUGACGGCCUGUAUUUUGUUUUCCCCUAUAUGUGUGUAGAGAGAUAUGUGGAGCUUAAUCUGAUUUUGGUGUGCGACAGAAAGAGAAGAAGGGGCGUCAUGUAUAUGUGUGUCACACCAAACUUGCAAUUAACCCAGACACAGGUUUAAAGGUCAAUUAAUAACUAUCAAUGGAAGUCUCUCAAUCAUUAACAAAGCGAGGAAAGGCAUUCACGCUGGAUCAAGAUAUAGCAAUUUGUAAUGCUUGGUUGAGCAUCACCCAAGAUCCAAUUGUUGGUAACUCGCAAUCACAGAGUACGUUUUGGAAUCGGAUAUUUCAAAAUUAUCUUGAUCAUUCCAACGACGAAAAUGUACAAACACAAGUUGUUAUCCAAUCUCGUUGGGGCAUAAUCAUGAAGUUUUGCAGUAAAUAUAGUCGGUGCGCCAAACAAAUUGAAAAUAGGCAACAAAGUGGAAUCAAUGAAACAGAUAAGGUUCUUCAAGCAAAAAGUUUGUAUUAUGAAAAUGAGAAGAAAUACUUUUCUUUGGAUCAUUGUUGGGCGAUUUUGGAACAUGCCAUUAAGUGAGAAAAUUAGGGAUCCUCCAAAAAGCCAAAGUCUCCUGCAAUGACCCCAUAUUCCUUUUCCCCAUUUUCCUCUUCCGCAUCCCAAAUUCCUGAGACGCCCAUUUCUCUCGAUUCCAAUCAAAAUUGAACCGAAAAAUCUGUUGACUCCCCAACAACCAAAAGGCCUAGUGGAAAGAAAGCUGCAAAAGAAGCACGUAAGAAAAGCAAGAUAGCAGACACUCGUUUUUGUAAUUUGAUGGAAAAAUUUAACGAAACUACAACUGACAGAUAUAUAAAAAAGUGUGAAAUAGAAAAAAAAAAAGUUAAAGUACGUAAUGGAGCAAAUGAAUCAAAGGGAGAAAGAAGAGAAAGAAGCCAAGAUUAUGAUGAUGGACCUUUCCAACAUGGACCCUCAGGCGAAAGUUUAUUACCAGCUGCGCAAGAAUGAGAUUCUUGCCAAACUACAAGCACGCUCAACAAACUUUGAUUAUUAUGUUCCUUUUUCCCCAUGUCCACCAUGAAGGACAGGUGAAAUUUAACACUUUCUAGGAAUAUGCUAUUUUGGUUUGUUCCUUGUAUAAAGUUUAGCACUUUCUAGAAAUAUGCUAUUUUGGUUUGUCCCCUGUAUGAAGUUUAGGACUAUUUUGCAAUAUGUUAUUUUGGUUUGUUCCCUGUAUGAAGUAGUAUGCUUGACAAUGAAAGUAAAGGCAAUGGACUGUGUUGUCGAAACUUUUUUUUGUUGUGCUUCAUGAAAGCAUCUAUUUUCGUAAUUUGGUUUGUUCUGGUAAUAUGUUUUUUUUUUUUUUUUGAAACAGAAUCUCCAUUGCAAUAAACUAGCCAAAUAUUUUAAUUUUUUGUAAUAAGGCAAACAAGCCAAAUAAAUUUAUUUAUAUUUAAUAAGGCAAACACGCCAAAUAUUUUUAUUUAUUUUUAAUAAGACAAACAAGCGAAAUAAAAUACAAACACUUAGAAAAAAAAAA